GGGCGGGUAGCUCAGUUGGCCAGAGCGUUCGCUUUACACGCGAAUGGUCGCCGGUUCGAGUCCGGCCCCGCUCA
rnacentral:tRNA from 1 species